CCUGGUGGUGCACGUCCCCAACCUUAUGUGGAUUUCCUAAAUUCUGCAAAAAAGGUUUGGAAGCUGAUCAAUCAAUACUGGAACUCCCUCUUCUCCAGAAGAGACAUCCUGGCCUCCAUGCAGAGGAAUGUGUGGAUGGACAUAUAUUUAAGGAAGACACUAAACCAGAAACUACUACAUUACACCCUCUUAGAAGUCUUCUAAGAUUGUUGUCAUGCCUACCACAGACAUUCAGAUGAUGUGUAUUGUUGAUUGUGAUUUCAUGUUUGGACCUGAUGAAGGAGUUUGAAGUCUCCAGAGCAGCAAAGAGAGUGGGGAGUAGAACUCAUCAUCUUUAGGUCACUCAUCAUCG
rnacentral:lncRNA from 1 species